ACUAGUUUCCAAAUGCAAUAAUAGACAUUGAAGGUUCCAAGUGGUGAAGCUAAGCAUACAGCAGGAGCAGAUGGAACCAAAACAUGAACCAGCUGAAAACCAAAAUCUUCCUCACUUACACACUGCUCUACAGGGGAGAUGUGGAAAGCAACCAAAAGGUAGCCUGAGAAAGACUUCAACUAACUCCUGAUCACUGUUUAGAAACCAUCAGCAGGGUCAAGAGCUGGGGAAGCCAUGUAAGAUCACUGUUGCUUGAGCAUCUUCUACAAGAGCUCUUCUCAACUCCUGAGGGGGCCUAAACAACAAAUCCUCCAUCAAAAGUCCCUGCAUGCAGAGCUUAGCUACUAUGUGAGCUGAUUGAUUCCUUUCUCUGUUGGUCCAGACAAAUACACAGCGAUGAAAAUUUCUUUUCAGAGAGAAAAUAUCCUGACAACUCAAAUUGUGGGCUAAGGUGAGACCUUCCCUGAUCGCACAGGCUUCAGAGGACAGAGGGGAAGAGGAAAAAACCUUUGCGUGGGAACCAGCCAAGAGAGUAGAGAAUUUGUCUCUAAUUAACACCCCCACAGAAGCUUGAGGUAAAGUACACACCCAACUGGCAUCUACAUUAAUUUUGAGGAGAUUGGCUGUUGGUGGAAUCCACUCUCUAGAUCGAGGGGCCUGACGGGUCAGGGCGAGAGAAUUUAAAAACAGCAUUGUUUCUCCCCUUCCUGAUGGCCCAAAGGAUGAAGGCAAGAGAAGAGAAAUCCCUGUCAAAAUCCAGGGAAAGAAUUUUUAAGGUGGUAAUCUUUUGCAUUAGCCAGACGUCGAAGGAUCCCAAUCCCUGCAAAGAGAUAGCCCACUGAAAGGAAGACCCAAACCACACUGCACGUGUCCAUGGGCACACUAAGAAAAGGUGUUCAACAGUUUCCUGGGCAUCACCACAAAGUGGACAGUAACUUGAAGGUUGUUUGUUCGUGCCCUAAGAUCCCACACUUGAAACAAAGGCCCUGAAGCCUUUCAUACUUGACUGAGACCCAAGCUUUUGGUAAGUUCUGUCUUGGAACCCAAAAGCCAGUAAUAAGAGCCUUUUCCACAUUCAACAGCACACGAGCUCUGUAAAAAGGGCGUAGCAGGCACCCAUUAACUCUCGGGUCCUCUAGUUCCAAGAGCUCACCCAUACCAGCAACUAGUUUCUUGACAUUUGCAUCAGACAUAAAUUCCAUAGGCAAAUCGUGGAACUGAGUCCAGUAAGGAACGAGGUUGAACCUUAACUCAGAAGCUGAGAUUUGUGGAUUCCAGAACUGUAGACUUAGAAGGUUGCCCAUGACGCUCCAAGGACCAUCAGCCAUGAUCUUAUUAACCUCCUUUGCUGUUGUGAAAGUAAAAAUGAAGGUAUUAGGGCUUAGAUCUCCAACUUGUAAGCCUUGUGGACUCCCCCAAGCUUUCACAAUUGUUUGUUUCACCGCAUACUUAUUCAGUGCUUUGUUGGUGAUGACCCUUCCCACUAGCAUCCUCUGAGCUAGCUCAGCAUUAGAAGAAGGAUCCGGUUCCAACAUAAUUGUUAAACCAUCCUGAUCUGCGUUACUCUCCAUCAAGUGUUCGCAUUCCAUCAUACUUCCACCACUAAAGAUCCAAGGGUACCAGGAGCACACCUUUCUCCUACUAAGCUCCAAAGUAUUCCACACAAGGAAGGAGAUCCAGCUAAACUGGAAGAAAGCUCUUCUUAGAUGAUCUUUACUCUAGGGAUGCCCUAGCAGAGAAGGUUCUAAAAGAGAUGCCCAUUAGUUAUUUUUGAUUGGCAAUACCAGAGGGCAGAUGGUCAUAAAUUACAAGCCAUGUCAAAUUUUAUGGCUGCUAACUUGGUCCACUUAGUAAACUAUUAAAACAUGAUUUUUAGUUUCUUUUGUCAAAGUUACAAUACGAAUGAACAUGACGCAAUGAAGGCGUAAAACGAAGCUUCUUCCUGUGUCCAAACUGUGAUUUGACUGCUAAGAAAUAAUAGUAAUUUACUGCUAAUUGCCUUUGUUACUUGAUGCUUGCUUGUGACAUUUCUCAAACACAUAAACGACAAAACACUUCUUUUACAAUUUCUCCAAGCAAAUGUUGAAUAACGACCGCAUUGACCAAGAUUUUAUCUCCCCACUCGUGCGUUCAAAUUUGGAUUUGAGUAUUUGACCCAUGCCAUCGUGCAUAUAAUACUAGUCAUUACUCAUUACCUGGAAUAUACCAAUUCUUCGUUCACACCCAUUUUAAUAUACUAUAUAUAUAUGUCCAAUAUUUAAAAAUAAAAUUGAUAUAUAAUUUAUGAGGUUGCCUAAAUAAUUUAUAAGAAUUACUUAACUUCUCUAUAAUGGAUGGUGACAGUGGUUGAAGAGGGGGUGGUGGCAGCAGCGGUGGUAGCAAUAGUGGAGGGUAGUAAUGAAGGCGGUGGUAGAAGGUGGUGGUAAAGGUAUGGCAAAUUAUAUGAAGAUUGUUAUACGGUUUAUGAGAGUUACUUUCGCCUCGCCAUAAUGAGUCAAUAAGAUUAUUAAUAAA